GUAACUGUAGCUUAACGGCAAAGCGCCUGAUUGUGGAUCAGGAGAUCAGGGUUCGAUCCCCGCUGUUGCC
rnacentral:tRNA from 1 species